UGAACGACAUUGAUUGGAAAUAUUAUCCGCAUGCAUCCAUCUUCAGAGAGUUCCCGGCAGGUGAGAGGGGCAGAAAAGGGAUGCGGAGAACACAUCCAUGAGUCGGGAUCCUGAAAUUGAAGUAGGGGCCCCCGGUAAUCCCUGCACCCGUUAUCGUGCUAGAGUAUUUGAGUACUCGAAGAGGCCGUCGCCGUGAGGCGUCGGUGAAACAAGGUGGAACCACGGAAGUAAUAUCCCGUCCUUGAU
rnacentral:ncRNA from 1 species